rnacentral:misc_RNA from 1 species
UUCCUGAUGAAUGGAUUCUAUAGCUGAUCCUCUUUAGUGUUUAUGGAAUGCUUGAAGAGAAUCAUCCUGAUGCAUCCUUCAUGUGAAUAUUUCUGUUUAUCAUGAUUGUGAUGUGUAUUUACAUCUUCAAUUGGUGUGCUACCAGUUGAAAUACUUGUGCCAGAAAAAGAAGUAUUGGAAAUCUCAUGAGGCUCAAGUAUCUACGAGACUUGUAGAGAGAAUCAGUUAUUAUCUCUGCUGUUUCUGAAUGGCAUUGAUAUUCUAUACAGAUUGAAGGGGAAAUAAAAG